rnacentral:rRNA from 1 species
AUUGAACGCUGGCGGCAGGCCUAACACAUGCAAGUCGAGCGAGCGGCGGACGGGUGAGUAAUGUCUGGGAAACUGCCUGAUGGAGGGGGAUCACUACUGGAAAAGGUAGCUAAUACCGCAUACCAUCAGAUGUGCCCAGAUGGGCGUAGCUAGUUGUAGGGGUAAUGGCUCACCUAGGCGACGAUCCCUAGCUGGUCUGCGAGGAUGAACAGCCACACUGGAACUGAGACACGGUCCAGACUCCUACGAGAGGCAGCAGUGGGGAAUAUUGCACAAUGGGCGCAAGCCUGAUGCAGCCAUGCCGCGUGUGUGAAGAAGGCCUUCGGGUUGUAAAGCACUUUCAGCGGGGAGGCGUUACCCGCAGAAGAAGCACCGGCUAACUCCGUGCCAGCCGCCGCGGUAAUUC